rnacentral:rRNA from 1 species
AGUGAACGCUGGCGGUAGGCCUAACACAUGCAAGUCGAACGGCAGCACAGUAAGAGCUUGCUCGUACGGGUGGCGAGUGGCGGACGGGUGAGGAAUACACCGGAAUCUACUUUUUCGUGGGGGAUAACGUAGGGAAACUUACGCUAAUACCGCAUACGACCUACGGGUGAAAGCAGGGGAUCUUCGGACCUUGCGCGAUUGAAUGAGCCGAUGUCGGAUUAGCUAGUUGGCGGGGUAAAGGCCCACCAAGGCGACGAUCUGUAGCUGGUCUGAGAGGAUGAUCAGCCACACUGGAACUGAGACACGGUCCAGACUCCUACGGGAGGCAGCAGUGGGGAAUAUUGGACAAUGGGCGCAAGCCUGAUCCAGCCAUACCGCGUGUGUGAAGAAGGCCUUCGGGUUGUAAAGCCCUUUUGUUGGGAAAGAAAAGCAGCAGGUUAAUACCCCGCUGUUCUGACGGUACCCAAAGAAUAAGCACCGGCUAACUUCGUG